UACGUAGGGCGCAAGCGUUAUCCGGAAUUAUUGGGCGUAAAGAGCUCGUAGGCGGUUUGUCGCGUCUGCUGUGAAAGACCGGGGCUCAACUCCGGUUCUGCAGUGGGUACGGGCAGACUAGAGUGCAGUAGGGGAGGCUGGAAUUCCUGGUGUAGCGGUGAAAUGCGUAGAUAUCAGGAGGAACAUCAGUGGCGAAGGCGAUCACCUGGGGUUGAACUGACGCUGAGGAACGAAAGCUAGGGGAGCAAACGGG
rnacentral:rRNA from 1 species